UUACUUUCUUCUCUCUCCUCUCUUCCCAUAGGCUCGUAUUAUAUUUGAUAAAGCUACUAAGGUUCAGUUUAAAUCAGUUGAUGAUUUAGCUAAUGUUUGGUGUGAGUAUGCUGAAAUGGAGCUCAGGCAUGAAAAUUAUGACAGAGCUUUAGGUAAAAUAAUGUUGGAUGAUGAUGAAAAUGUUCUAAUUCCUGUACUUAUGACAAUUCCUGUUUUUAUUUAUUUGUCUUUUAAAUUAAUAUUUGUACACACGCCCACUAGAGCCACAGAGCCGACUUUUAAAUUAACAUUUUUACACAC